rnacentral:rRNA from 1 species
GUGUCAGCAGCCGCGGUAAUACGUAGGGUGCAAGCGUUGUCCGGAAUCAUUGGGCGUAAAGCGCGCGUAGGUGGCCAUUUAAGUCCGCUGUGAAAGUCAAAGGCUCAACCUUUGAAAGCCGGUGGAUACUGGAUGGCUAGAGUGCGGAAGAGGCGAGUGGAAUUCCUGGUGUAGCGGUGGAAUGCGCAGAUAUCAGGAGGAACACCAAUAGCGAAGGCAGCUCGCUGGGACGUUACUGACUCUGAGACGCGAAAGCGUGGGGAGCGAACAGGAUUAGAUACCCUGGUAGUCC